rnacentral:lncRNA from 1 species
UGCAUAGAAAAGCAGAGGUGAAGGAUAUAAUUACAGACGUAAUUAAUAACAUGUCUGAUGAGGAAGAUGAAGAAGAAGCCGAGAACGAUGAUGAUGAUGAUGCGGAUAAAGAUGAUGAUGGUGAUGAUGAUGACGCUUGAUUUUAGUUGGUCAAAUAAUAUUUGACCUGUGCAGAAAUUAGAGGCAUGUGGGCAUCUAAUAGCUAGAUUUUAUCUUCAUAAUUCUCCGGUCAGCUGUCACUGCGGAUAAGUUAAGGUAGAUAUUUGGUUUGAGUUGUGACCUUUUCCAUUACAGAUGCUCUAAAUUAGGUUUGUAUUUUGUACCAUAGAUUUAACCCGCUCCUCUGUAUUACUGAUGUGACCUCUAUUUCUCAUAUUGAAUAGUUUGUUUUUUCGCUGGCCUGUAAACAUUAUUGCCUCCUAAUUUAGAUAAUUGUUCUUUCUUUUAUUUGUUAAAAC